UCUAGUGCCUGGACCGCUCUUGCUCAGUUGCCAUGGAAACUGCCACUGGUGAGGUAUGGUAGGGAAGGGGCCCCACUUGUCGGAGCCGGGGCCCAGGCCACCCGCGAGCCACUUCGGGUGCCUAUUGUCCUCUUUUCGUCGCCUGCUCUGCCUCUGAGGACUCUGCUCUUCCCCAAGAGAGAAAUAUUCAGGAGGGAAUGGUCCAUGUCAUCCCAACACCCAGGUGCCAGGGAGGUGAAAGAAGAACCCAUGGCACUUGGUGAUUAGUGGGAGAACUGAAUUUCUGAAUUUAACUCAGUACAGGGUUGUUUUGGGGAUCACAUGAUUCUAUAGAGCCAGAAAACAUUCAACUAAAUUAAG